rnacentral:rRNA from 1 species
UACAGAGGUCCCGAGCGUUGUUCGGAUUCAUUGGGCGUAAAGGGUGCGUAGGCGGUUUGUCACGUCGGAUGUGAAAUCCCGGGGCUUAACCUCGGGUCUGCAUUCGAUACGGGCUGACUAGAGUUCGGUAGGGGAGACUGGAAUUCCUGGUGUAGCGGUGAAAUGCGCAGAUAUCAGGAGGAACACCGAUGGCGAAGGCAGGUCUCUGGGCAUUAACUGACGCUGAGGAGCGAAAGCAUGGGGAGCGAACAGG